rnacentral:rRNA from 1 species
UACGUAGGGUGCGAGCGUUAAUCGGAAUUACUGGGCGUAAAGCGUGCGCAGGCGGUUCGUUAAGUUCGAUGUGAAAGCCCCGGGCUCAACCUGGGAACUGCAUUGGAAACUGGCGAGCUUGAGUGCGGCAGAGGGGGGUGGAAUUCCGCGUGUAGCAGUGAAAUGCGUAGAUAUGUGGAGGAACACCGAUGGCGAAGGCAGCCCCCUGGGUUAACACUGACGCUCAUGCACGAAAGCGUGGGGAGCAAACAGG